rnacentral:rRNA from 1 species
UACGUAGGGGGCAAGCGUUGGUCCGGAAUCAUUGGGCGUAAAGCGCGUGUAGGCGGCUCGAUAAGUCUGCUGUGAAAGUCCAGGGCUCAACCCUGGGAUGCCGGUGGAUACUGUCGAGCUCGAGUCCGGAAGAGGCGAGUGGAAUUCCUGGUGUAGCGGUGAAAUGCGCAGAUAUCAGGAGGAACACCAAUGGCGAAGGCAGCUCGCUGGGACGGUACUGACGCUGAGACGCGAAAGCGUGGGGAGCAAACAGG